AUGGAAGUCGCUGAACUGAGCGCUUUCCAAAUAGAUAGCGAUUUAGGCUUCCCUUUUUCAUGAACUCAUAGAUAAGAAUGAACUUCCCAUCUUCAUGGCAGUAUCCCAAUAGUUGUACAAGGUUCGGAUGAGAUAAGCUUCCCAACAAAUUGACCUCUGCCUUCCAUUCUUGAGCUCCUUGACCGCUCUCAGGAUUCAGUUUCUUGAUAGCCAUAGCUGUCUUCCUUAUUCCCCUUGGCAUCACCUUUUCCUUAAGCCAACCCUUAUAAACAACACCAAAACCUCCUUUUCCCACCACCAUAUCAGGUCUAAAAUUAUGUGUUGCAGCCUUCAGUUGUGCAUAAGUAAAAGCUCUCAAGUUCGAGUACGCAAUGAUUGGUCCAUUUGUGAAGGCCUCAAUUUGCUCUGUAGCAUUGUUGCCCCAAAUAGUUGUGAAGCUGCCGCUUGAUUGAGAUAUCCAUGUUGUCAGGUUGGUGCUUGUUGCAGAGUAUCCAUUGCUGUCAUAGACAUUUUCAUCUGCAGGAGCUGUAUUACUUGCAGUGACAUGAUGGAUGUUGGUUGGAUGAUCUGGGGUUGGCUUAUGAGCUGGACGGCACCAGCAAUUCCCCAUCAGCUACGAUUAUACACGCUUCCUUAUCGUUGAGGAGCCUCUGCAAAGCCGGCGAUGGCCACAAAAUUCUGUAAUAGAGAGAAAGGAAGUUUUGAUACGCUUCCUUUU
rnacentral:misc_RNA from 1 species